UGAAUGAAGGCUGAAUGAAGAUAGGAAGUCAUUACCUGAUUACCUUAAUCAGUGAUCCACCUGAAAAAAAAAAAAAGCGAGAAAGAUGUUCAUGAUAAAGAUUUGUUUGGUUCUUGUGACGGUCGUGGCCRUCAAUGCAGCACCCAUGCAKGACUGUGAACGGAAAKUUUUACAGGAUCGCUUCAUAAAAAAUUACGUAGAUMAAAUCAGUAAAAACUGGACUUUCUGCAAAGAGUUGAAGUUCAUUCUCSAUGCAUUGUUGMACUC